UACGGGGGGGGCAAGCGUUGUUCGGAAUUACUGGGCGUAAAGGGUGCGCAGGCGGCGUCACGCGUGGAUAGUUGAAAUCUCCUGGCUUACCUGGGAGGGCGGUAUCCAGACGGUGGCGCUUGAGGGUCGGAGAGGGGCGUGGAAUUCCGGGUGGAGCGGUGAAAUGCGUAGAGAUCCGGAGGAACACCGACGGCGUAGGCAGCGCCCUGGACGACACCUGACGCUGAGGCACGAAAGCUGGGGGAGCGAACAGGAUUAGAUACCCUGGUAGUCCCAGCCCUAAACGAUGUCCACCAGGUACCGGGGGGAUCGACCCCCUCGGCGCCGAAGCUAACGUGAUGAGUGGACCGCCUGGGGAGUACGGCCGCAAGGUUGAA
rnacentral:rRNA from 1 species